AGAGAGUACUUUUGGUCACAUAAUGAGGAAGGACUGUGAUUUGUUUUGGUGGGUCAGAACGCAGAUACUUCAUCAGCGGUUUAUGCUCUGUUCAAGUAUGCUAAGAAUAUACCAUUUGUCAUUUAAAUGAGCUCAUUUUAAUGUGCAAUGAAGCAUGAUUCAUGUUUCCUUAUACAAUUUUAUUAGCCUUUUCAGUUUGGGUAUUUAUCUGUUGUUUUGCCUUUUCAGUGUAGACAUUUGGAUUAUUGGAAGCAGCCCAAGCAAAACUGAAUGAAUGGACGGCAUGCAGGUAUCAGGAAGGUUUAAAAUCAUUGGCAAGCCCGAAGGGAAAAUAUUUAAUCCUUAAGCAAACACGAUUUUAGUACCAUCAGCUCCUGACAGAAAUCCCCAAUUAGUAUAUCUUUUAUUUAUAAUGAUAUCGUAUGUCAUUGGUUUAUAAAGACAGUAUACCACAAAUGUGCGUGAGUAACAACAGAAAGCUUUAAAUAUUUAAUCUGUAUAAAUCACUGCAUUAUUUUCAUUCCAAACCGAUGUCAUUUUAAAACAUUAUUCAGUCCCAUCCAAGAAUCAUAGAAUCAUAAGGCUGGACAGGACCUAAAAGAUCAUCUAGUCCAACCAUCUUCCCUUUACCAUACCUACAGGAAACCCCUAAACCAUAUCAAUUUCAAUUUUGGGGCAGAAAUUUGGGGCAGAAUUUCAGUUUUGGGGCAUUUUGAAGUACUUGAGAAAAACAUUUUUAAGUGGAAGUUUCUGAGAAAAAAAGCACUAUAGAUUUCAAAGCCAAUAUGCAUCCA
rnacentral:lncRNA from 1 species